GCCUCCGUGGCUUAGUAGCUAUAGCGGCUGCCUAGUAAGCAGCAGGUCGAGGGUGCAAAUCCCUCCGGAGGCU
rnacentral:tRNA from 1 species